GAAGGAGCUCUUGCCUGCUGUAGCUGCUUGAGACCUGGUGCUGCCUGCCUAGCUUUCCCAGUACUGCCUGCUCUGCUAUCUUGGUGUUACAUGACUACAGGGAGUCUCCCAGCAGAAGCUGUAUUCCAGCAGAAUCUGAGAGUCUACAUGAAGAUGGGAAAGAGGGAGUUGUCCCUCAAGUACCAUAUUUUCGUGCAUAUAUCCCGCGAGGAAUAUUCUUACUAGGAAAGUGAAUAAUUAGAAUAUUUGUUGACCGUUAACUAUGUUGCUGAGUGGCAUGGACAUCUUACUGGUUACAUUGCUGCUUCUUUUAUUUCGUGCUGCAACUAGCUCAUUCCUCUCAGAUUGGAUCCCUGGUCUUCAGAGCAAGAUGGCUGACUUUAGAGAUCUCUGAAAAAUUUCCAGUGGACCAGUUACCCCUCAGAAAUUAAAAUGUCAUUUAUGUUCCAAUGCUCACAUUAAACAUUUUGUUCCAAAAAGCCAAAAGGAAAGUUUUGAUUUAAUUUAAUUUUGAUAAUUUUAAACCUUCUUUUCAAUGUUGUC